rnacentral:SRP_RNA from 1 species
GCUGGGCAUGGUGGCGUAUGCCUGUAAUCCCAGCUACUAGGGAGGUUGAGACAGGAGAAUCACUUGAACCCAGGAGGCGAAGGUUGCAGUGAGCCGAGAUUGUGCCACUGCACUCCAGCCUGGGUGACAGAGUGAGACUGUGUCUCAA